CCUACGGGUGGCAGCAGUGGGGAAUAUUGGGCAAUGGGCGCAAGCCUGACGCAGCAACGCCGCGUGAAGGAAGAAGGCUUUCGGGUUGUAAACUUCUUUUCUCAGGGACGAAGAAAGUGACGGUACCUGAGGAAUAAACCACGGCUAACUACGUGCCAGCAGCCGCUGUACUACGUAGGGGGCAAGCGUUAUCCGGAUUUACUGGAUGUAAAGGGAGCGUAGACGGCUAAUCAAGUCAGAAGUGAAAACCCAGGGCUCAACCUUGGGAGUGCAUUUGAAACUGAGUAGCUAGAGUGCAGGAGAGGUGAGCGGAAUUCCUGGUGUAGCGGUGAAAUGCGUAGAUAUUAGGAGGAACACCAGUGGCGAAGGCGGCUUACUGGACUGUAACUGACGUUGAGGCUCGAAAGCGUGGGGAGCAAACAGGAUUAGAUACCCGGGUAGUC
rnacentral:rRNA from 1 species